rnacentral:rRNA from 1 species
AUGAGGCGGAUCCGCAAGGAACUGGAGCUGCUCUUGAUCGACCCGCCGGCGUUCUGCCGGCCCGGCCCGGCGCCCGUGACGGACCUGUUCCACUGGGAGGUGGUCAUCGACGGCCCCCACGGUAGCCCCUACGCCGGCGGCACGUUCCCCGUCGACGUCGCCUACCCCAAGGACUACCCAUUCGACCCCAUCAAGCUCACCUUCAGAACCAAGGUGAGUCGGCCGGCACUGCCCUCUAGCUGCAUGCAUGCUUCCUCCAUAAAGAUCGACCGAUCGAUCGGCAUCUGUACGUAUGACCGCGCCAAAACGAUCGACUGGUCAAUUGCCCUCCCAUAA